rnacentral:rRNA from 1 species
UACGAAGGGUGCAAGCGUUGUUCGGAAUUAUUGGGCGUAAAGCGCGCGCAGGCGGAUCAGUAAGUCAGGUGUGAAAUCUCGGAGCUCAACUCCGAAACUGCGCCUGAAACUACUAGUCUAGAAUGUCGGAGGGGGGCAGGGGGAAUUUCACGUGUAGGGGGUAAAAUCCGUAGAGAUGUGAAGGAACACCGGGGGGCGAAGGCGCCGUGCCUGGACGACUAUUGACGCUGAGGCGCGAAAGCGUGGGGGAGCAAACAGG